GGCGGACGGGUGAGUAACGCGUGAGUAACCUGCCUUCAGAGAAGGGGAUAGCCUUUGGAAACGAAGAAUAAUACCCUAUGAAACCAUAACCUCGCAUGAGGCCUUGGUCAAAGAUUUAUCGCUCUAAGAUGGACUUGCGUCUGAUUAGUUAGUUGGUGGGGUAACGGCUACCAAGACAGCGAUCAGUAGCCGGCUUGAGAGAGUGUACGGCCACAUUGGGACUGAGACACGGCCCAGACUCCUACGGGAGGCAGCAGUGGGGAAUUUUGCACAAUGGGGGAAACCCUGAUGCAGCGACGCCGCGUGAUUUAGAAGGCCUUCGGGUUGUAAAAAUCUUUUCUAUGGGAAGAAAAUGACAGUACCAUAGGAAUAAGGACCGGCUAAUUACGUGCCAGCAGCCGCGGUAAUACGUAAGGUCCGAGCGUUGUCCGGAAUCAUUGGGCGUAAAGGGUACGUAGGCGGGUAAGCAAGUUAGAAGUGAAAUCCUAUAGCUCAACUAUAGUAAGCUUUUAAAACUGCUCAUCUUGAGGUAUGGAAGGGAAAGUGGAAUUCCUAGUGUAGCGGUGAAAUGCGCAGAUAUUAGGAGGAAUACCGGUGGCGAAGGCGACUUUCUGGCCAUAACCUGACGCUGAGGUACGAAAGCGUGGGUAGCAAACAGGAUUAGAUACCCUGGUAGUCCAUGCCGUAAACGGUGGGCGCUAGGUGUAGGGGGCUUCCACGUCUUCUGUGCCGUAGCUAACGCAUUAAGCGCCCCGCCUGGGGAGUACGCCGCAAGGCUA
rnacentral:rRNA from 1 species